UGGGCAGGACAGAUGACUGCUUCGACAUCCUGUCGGAGAGGAAAGUCCGAGCACCCAAAGCCUCUAGCGUUUUGCGUCUAGAGAGCGGACAAGAAGAGCGGCUAACGGCCGCCGGGAUAUAGCGUCAAUCAACGAACGGACACGUGCCCAACGUUUAUGCGUAAACCCAGGGAAAGUGCCACAGAGACAAUACUAUCUUCCCCUAGCUUCACGCGAAGGAAGAGAAAGGUGAAAAGUGUGAUGAGGUGGUUAUCUCCGACUUCGUUUCGGAGCAAUGUUCUGCCACAUCGCUCCUCCGUCGGUAACGGCGGAGCGUGGUAAACCCUCUUCGGUGCAAGAGCAAGCGAUUCGACAAUCGUCGGAUCAAUGGUCGCUCGCUUGAGGCUUCCUGCAAAUGAAGUCCCAGAGAGAUAGUCAUCCCUCCAGCGAUAUGUUGGAGCGACAGAACUCGGCUUACCGUUCCGCCCCAGCA
rnacentral:RNase_P_RNA from 1 species